UUAAACUGAAAAUUGGGGAUUUUUUUUAAAUCAGAGAAAACCUGGAUCCCUGCUUAUCACACAACCAAAUCUGACCCUGGAAAACAGCCUGGCCGAGCAGGCUGGAUGAGCCAGUGGAGAACCCCUUAUCACUGUUCCAUAUUCGGGGUUGGUUUUGCUCUGUGAUAUCUGUGCCUUUCCUAUGUGAAUACAAUGAUGGAUGCAUUUGUAUAAGGAAGGGUGAUUCAAAGGGCCACCAAUGAAGCUGCUCUGGAGCAUCAGUGCUCAGAGAGAUCUUACAGAACAGGGCACCACGGUGCAGAGAAGAGUACAAGGAAUCAAUCAAAGAACUGGUGUUCUGCUGCUGUCAAAAGAAAUUCAACCCCAGUCUAAGUCUGGAACCAGAGUUUACAUAUGGUUUGGCUCCUAGUGAUCUAAUUUCUCAUCCGGAAUGAUAUUCUUCUACCAAAGGAGGAAGAACAAGAGGAUAUCAUGGAUGUUUCCCUUAGGAACCAAGAAUGAAUGAAUGGAUCAAUGGAUGGAUGGAUUUAUUUCACCAUUCAAAACUUAAUCUAAAUUGAAAGCAGACAUUCACUGAGAUAUAAAUAUUAGGUCAUCUUUUUAAAAAGAUCUUUUGUGGAUUUCUUGGGCUCAUUUAGGAAUAUAAAUACCAAGCUACUUUGAAAAACACGCUUGUUAUAGUAUAUUUGAUCAAAUGAAAAUUUGAAAGUGCAUAUUUCAAGAAAUUCUACCAUACAAUUUUCAAUUUAGCUUCCAAAAGGAAGAGGUCUGGAUACAUUCAGAGGAGUCAGCAAUGGGCAAUUACUCUAUAGAAACCUUUAACCAAAUUCACCAAAAAAUAACAAAGGGUUACACCCUGCUUUUAUUGCAUGUGCAAAACUCCCAUUAAGUAAGGAUAGGAUGGGACCCACCUGAAAAGAGACCAGCAUCAUAAGUUGAUUUGCAAACUUCCACCAAAAAGUUGCCAAACACUCUGUGUCUAAUGGAUAUAAGGUACUUGGCAGAAGAAAGCUUCAUUUCAUGUCCUAUUACCACACUAGAGCUAAUGCAG